UAUUAAUAUCAUGUUUUGUCAAGCUAAUGAUGAGGGUUAAUGCUGAUGAUAAUGUACAAUUCAAGUCAAAUUGAUGAAUUGAUUAAAAGGUUAAUCAUGUUAAUAGCUAACUUAAAUAGCGCGCCUUUGUUUUCGUUUGGUUAAACAUUUUGCUUACGCCGCCUUAUCACAUGGUUUUAAUUUUUGAAUUAGUUAACGGUUUCGCUCAAUGCACGCCAUUAAUUAAACAUUGUCAUUGUCAUUGUCUUUGUUUAAUUUAGUUAUGAGUGCUUUUAUUAAUUGUAACAACUGUUGAUCAUCUAUUCUUCUAAUGUGUUUUAACGUGGAAAUCUUUCUAAUCAAUUUCUUGUUUCUAUUAAUAUUUUCUUCAUAGAUUUUCUGUUGGUGGUCAAAAUUGUGAAUAAUGUAGGUUGUUGAAUUGGUUUAAAAGUGGAUUCACAUUUUGUUGCUAAAUGAGCUUUAAUUGAGCUUUCAACGCGCGAUUCUAAUCUAUUGCCUAGAAGGCAAGAUUACUUGGAGGUCAGUCAAUUGGCUUAAGUUGACUUUAAUUUAAUGUCUUAAAUGGACUUACAAAUUCUCUCUUGUUGAUUAAUGAUUGUCAAGUUCUGAUUGCUCAAGGAUUAAAACCCAGCCACUUCGGUCACCUAAGUUGAUCAAUGGUUUAAAGGUGACCUUCACUCUGGAUGCUUUUCAUUGAGCUUGUAAUUCUUUUGUCUAUUGCUGGAGACUAAUGAGCAGAUAAAUGAUUUUGGUUUCAAUUUAUUCAUGGAAAGAGAAAUAUUUUUGCUGGUAUUUUCAAUGUUAAUUGUUGGUGUGCAAUCACAAAUGAGUCAAAAAUUUGGAUGUAUUGGAUGGUCAAAAAGAUGCUCAUCAUGAUAAAGACAAGAAGAAGAGGAGAAAGAGAAGAUUGUGUGUUAUGAGAGGGUUCACAAGUAAAAAGAAGUAGCUUAAUAGUGAUAAUCCUCUUAGGGAUUGACAUAGAUUCGUUUGAGAGGAAAUAGCAUGACAAGUUCAACCUAUCUUAAAUAGUCACGAGGGUUUCAUCAUCAUCAUCAGCUUCAUCUUCUUGAUCAUCUUAUUGACCUUUUUCUUCCUACUUGUAAUACCUUCUGUUAUUAGGCCUAAUUGGAACCUGUUAUAGCGGACUUGAAUCUUUGAAGUUAAUUUUUGUUUCCCAGUUUUCUUCCCUUUAUUUGGUUUCAUCUUUUUAUUUGUUCAAUCAUAUUCAUUCAUUAUCAUGAUCUCGAGUUAGUUUUUUUCUUCAUCUUCACCAUUACCAUCGCACACACCGCCAUCAUUAUCAUCAUCUUUUCAUCAGGAUAGAUUUCAUCCAUUUUCAUCCAAAGAAAAGCUUCAAAGAUGAUCCAAGUUAAGAUAUCUUGUUAUUCAAAAGCUUAAUAUUUCAUUUACUUUCCUUUUUUUACUAUUUACUUUCUCCUUAUCCCAUUUUCAUCUCCCUUAUUGUUUAGCUUAAGAUUAAGGUUAUUUAAUUUGAUUCACAUAAUGAUUAACAAUUGUCAACUCAUUAUGAGAAGCAAAAAAGGAUAACAAAGAGAAAAAGGUUUCGGAUUGGGAUUAACAUGAUUUUGUCUCAAGGAUUACAAACCGUCUUUCCUAUUAAUUUCCCUGCUUAAUUAAUGUCUCUAAUCAAUUUAAAUAGUUAAUUAAGACAUGGUAUGAAGUAUCAUGAAAGAGCUAAGAAAAGAAAGUAAUUAAUCAAACUUGAUGCACUUACCUAACAAAUAAUAUUGCUACAAUUUAAGCCUAUGAUCGAUUGACAACAAUGAACAUUGAAAACUGACAAAAAGUUUCCGACCAAACAAUACUUAAGUAUCAUCUUAUAUCCAACCGAUACAAUUGAACUGGAACAAAAUUUCAAUAUAAAAUGUUGAACCAGAAACAUUCAAAUUGAAACAAUUUGUAAACGGUUAGCAAUUUAAAUAGGCUUGUAAUAGUUUUUAUUUUAUAUCAUUUCAAGAAAAUAUUGAUGAUAUUUCCGUUCAAUUGAAUCAAGAUCAAUAUUAAAAGCCAAAAAUAGUUGCAAAAGUGAAUUACAUUGUUAACAAAUUAAGAAAGUCUUAAAUGUUUAAUCAAUGCCUUCUCAUCAUUAUCAUCCUCACCACCACCAUCAACAAUAUCAUCAUCAUCGUCAUCUAUGAGAAAGAAGCAGAUGUUAUUCAUUAUUUGUUACUUUUGAGAAGAAGAAGAAAGAAACUCUUUGAAUCAAUUCUUGUUUCCUUCAAGACUCUUCAUCAUUUCCUAUCAACUUGAUCAGUCUUCUGUUUAAACUUGGUUAACCUUUGGUUAUCUUAAAAUGUUGUCAUUGUGUGUAAGUUUGGUGAAUUUGUGUGUGUCUUGGUCUCUUCAAUGGUUGUUUAAUGAUGAGAAGAGAGCCUCUUUUUUGAUCGCUCAAUUUAUUGAGAAUGAUUAAUGAUCAACAAUUAACAAUUAUUAUUGUUGGUGGCAUCAUCAUUAUUAUAUUUACUAAAUUAACCUUUCUCCUGAUAUCCUCAAAUUGUUCACUUGAUUAAAUAAUAAAUGAUUAGUUCACUUAAUCAAAAAAACAUAUUCAGUUACAAAAGGCUCCAAAAGUGUUUUCAUUUUUAUACUUUCACUCAACUCCAAUCGUUUCUUCCUAAUGAUGAAUAUAUUUUUCUGUUAACUCAACCAUUUGCUUAACCAGAUCAAUUUUCAACUCUCAACUGGACAGACAAUUGUUGAUUGAUGAUUUAUAAAUUGCUUUAUACUUUUUAACUAAUCAAUCAAUUAGCUGUCGAUUGUUAAUUUUAACAAAAGUGUUAACAACUUUAAUUGUUUUUGCUUCUCCACUGAAACAUUGAAGCAAUUUUUGUUAUCUCACACUUUGUUCAAAACUCUCAUUAAUCAAGAUUCCAUGUUAUAUUAUUGAUGGUUGUGGGUUAAUUAUUAAUGAUAGUAGUAGUACAGAUACACAAGAUAACUCAUACACAAGAUAACUCACUUUUAAUCGAUAUUUAAUUAAUAAAAUUGACCAUUAAAUUAA